GUCCUUCAGGACGCGCGCUCAAGUCCUGAAGCAACGCACGCCAUUGCAGGGGUUCAGCAGCAUUAAGAUCCACAAUAUGAACCAUCUUUUCACCUUCCAUAGCUUCAAUUAUAGCUUGAUUUGUGACCACAAACGCCACCUUCAAGAAAGGAAAGAUCUCGAAAAACAUCUUCCUAACAAGAAUUUCUUCUGAGACAACCGAUAACUUAGUCGAACGCAACGCCUUAUAAAGACCAGGCCAACUCCUUAGAAUCCUAUCAGCUAAAGCCUCAGUAAAAUAUGAAGCAAUCCUUUGCAUGGUAUCUCCACUAGGAGAUGCAAGUUGGGAAAUAUGGUCAAGUGCUAUAUUAGCAUUCUCAAGGCUACCAGAAGCAACAUGAUUAGCACAAGCAAGCAAAAGAUGUAUCAAAUACAACCCUCUUUCUUCAGAUUUCAGCUCCUUAAGCCACUGAUUUGAUGAACCAAA
rnacentral:misc_RNA from 1 species